rnacentral:tRNA from 1 species
GGUGGCUCAGUGGUAGAGUGCCUGCCUUGUAUGCACGAGGCCCUGAGUUCUAUUCCUCAGCACCA